rnacentral:rRNA from 1 species
CUAUUAUGGAGAGUUUGAUCCUGGCUCAGGACGAACGCUGGCGGCGUGCCUAAUACAUGCAAGUCGAGCGG